UGACAGAAUAAAAGAAUUUCGGAAGGGCCUUCUUAAGAAGAAAAAUUGGAACCGGAGGCAAGAAGCUGUAGUGGAACUCUCUCAGAAUCUCUUUGAUAUUCUCCUGCUUGUUUUGUCCGCCAUGGCUGCCGAAUCUGCUUCUGCAAUUCAAAGAAGCCAAGUGGAUUUACUGGAGCAUAUAGAUUGGAGAGGGGUUGAAUGUCUCAAUCAAAGCGGCACUCACUCUGUUGCUAACGCCCUCAAGCAGGGUUACCGCGAAGAUGAUGGCUUGAUUCUGGAGAGUGAUGCUGAUGAGCAACUUUUGAUCUACAUUCCAUUUACCCAAGUCAUAAAACUGCAUUCUAUUGUCGUUAAAGGAACAGAAGAGGAAGGUCCUAAAACUGUCAAACUUUACUCAAACAAAGAGCAUAUGGGAUUUAGUAAUGUAAACGACUACCCUCCAAGUGAUACAGCUGUUCUAUCAGCUGAGAAUCUCAAGGGAAAGCCAGUAGUAUUGAAGUAUGUUAAAUUUCAAAAUGUUCGCAGCUUAACAAUUUUUAUUGAAGAUAAUCAAUCUGAUUCGGAGAUGACUAAGGUCCAAAAGAUAGCCCUGUAUGGAACAACCUGUAGGUUCUGCAACAUGAUGUGACAUUUCAAGUGCUAUGAAGUUGAGGCCAGGGCCUAUCAAAGCCAUGGGGGUAGAAGUAGCUCUCCACAUUAAGUGUGGGGUUGAGACAACUGAUAUGAAGAGUUUGAAGAAGAUUGAGGACCAGCAUUAGAAUGCUGUUGAAAGAAAAUGAUUGAACCUGAAAGUAUUUUGACCUUUCAGCCUUAAUUAUGUUUUUAGAUAUUGGAUUAUACUAGCCAUGUGGCUGCUCAUGAAGACUUGUAUCCAAAAGCUGUGACAUCUUGUUUGCGAGAGUGGCAAGGAUAUGUUGAGCUUCAUAGUUCUUUGACGUGCCAUUUUUGGUCUUACUGUCUGAACUAUGAACUGGACAGGCACUGGCUGUUUUGAUGCAAACCAACCUUGACCAAAUACGUAUUGUGUCUGGUCAAUGGUAAAAUGGAGUAUAGGUCCAUGAUCCGGUCCGAGAUUGGUCUAAGUACCAUGGGCCGGAUCUUUGAAUUCAAAUUAAUGUAGUUCUCAUUUCCUUUUUUCCUUA